rnacentral:rRNA from 1 species
CAGCAGUGGGGAAUAUUGCGCAAUGGGGGGAACCCUGACGCAGCAACGCCGCGUGCAGGAAGAAGGUCUUCGGAUUGUAAACUGUUGUCGCAAGGGAAGAAGACAGUGACGGUACCUUGUGAGAAAGUCACGGCUAACUACGUGCCAGCAGCCGCGGUAAUACGUAGGUGACAAGCGUUGUCCGGAUUUACUGGGUGUAAAGGGCGCGUAGGCGGGAUAGCAAGUCAGUCGUGAAAUGCCGAGGCUUAACCUCGGAGCUGCGAUUGAAACUGUUAUUCUUGAGUAUCGGAGAGGAAAGCGGAAUUCCUAGUGUAGCGGUGAAAUGCGUAGAUAUUAGGAGGAACACCAGUGGCGAAGGCGGCUUUCUGGACGACAACUGACGCUGAGGCGCGAAAGUGUGGGGAGCAAACAGGAUUAGA